rnacentral:rRNA from 1 species
AUUGAACGCUGGCGGCAUGCUUUACACAUGCAAGUCGGACGAGUGGCGAACGGGUGAGUAAUAUAUUGGAACGUACCGAGUAAUGGGGGAUAACCAAUCGAAAGAUUGGCUAAUACCGCAUAUUAUUCGAGCGGCCCAUAUCUGAUUAGCUAGUGGGUGGGGUAAAGGCCUACCAAGGCGACGAUCAGUAGCGGGUCUGAGAGGAUGAUCUGCCAAACUGGGACGUGAGCACGGCCCAGGAGCCUACGGGAGGUAGCAGUGGGGAAUUUUUGACAAUGGGCGAAAGCCUGAUCCAGCCAUGCCGCGUGUCUGAAGAAGGACUUCGGGGUGUAAAGGACUUUUGUUAGGGAAGAGGUACCUAAAGAAUAAGGACCGGCGAACUACGGGCCAGGAGGCGCGGUAAUAC